AUCGCUUCUCGGCCUUUUGGCUAAGAUCAAGUGUAGUAUCUGUUCUUAUCAGUUUAAUAUCUGAUAUGUCCUCCAUGUGAGGGCUACAUAUUAAAUGGAUUUUUAGGGAAUGGGAGUCUGAAAGAGGAGCUCGCUCCGUUCACUCCAUGCAUCGACCUGGCGUUGCAGUGUCGCCAGGAGCGGUGUGCUCUCU